GCACUGAAUGUGAGGAUUGGAGGAAAUCAAACUAGUUGCUGCAGAUCAUCAAUCAGUUUGGUUUCCUCCAAUAUCUCAUCUUCACUUG
rnacentral:pre_miRNA from 1 species